UUUUAUUCUUUAUUUUAAAAAACUAUUCAUUCAAAUCUUGAUAAGCAUGUUAUUGUCUAAAUUUUUCAACCAUAGUUUCAAAUUCCACUAAUUCUCGGAAUUUCCUCAUGAAUAUUUUAUUCAUAAUCUAUGUUGUACACACCCCCAAACUGUCAACGUCAGAUGACCCAAAUAAAGCAGAGGAAACAAGCAAUGGAAUUAUUUCUAUUCAUAUCCUAAAAGAUACAGAAUAUCUCUGUCAGUGGUUCACAACUGGGAUUUAUAUGGACCCUGAGGGGGUCCAUGUAAGGUUUUGUUGCUAAAAUUUUCAUCUACAUUAAAUUGGUUCUAUUUGUUCAACACACAAAAUAUUUUAGUUUUUUUUUAAUAGAAUUCUUCAUAAUAUUAUAAAAGUAUAAUAGGAUUUCUUUAAACGACGAACGGCUAUGGGCGAUUCACCUGUGUAAAAUGGGAAUCAAAGGGGUCAAUAGGUGAAAAGUGGUUGAGAAUCACUGAUCUAUGUAAUUAAAAUCUUAAAGUUUUAACUGUGAGAGCAAAUGAAAUAAUAUCAGGUAUCAUAUAAAAGUGAUAUAUAACAAAUGUCUAAUACUAUGAAAUAUAAAAAUUAAAAAGUAUUGUUUGGAAUAUGCAAUCUUUAUAAUGUAGUCAGUUGUUCUGUUGAUUUAUAUUUUUCUAUCUUGAAAUAAAUAUGUUAUCAAUUCUUAA